CCUACGGGAGGCAGCAGUGGGGAAUAUUGCACAAUGGGCGCAAGCCUGAUGCAGCCAUGCCGCGUGUGUGAAGAAGGCCUUCGGGUUGUAAAGCACUCUCAGCGGGGAGGAAGGCGUUAAGGUUAAUAACCUUAGCGAUUGACGUUACCCGCAGAAGAAGCACCGGCUAACUCCAUGCCAGCAGCCGCGGUAAUACGGAGGGUGCAAGCGUUAAUCGGAAUUACUGGGCGUAAAGCGCACGCAGGCGGUCUGUCAAGUCGGAUGUGAAAUCCCCGGGCUCAACCUGGGAACUGCAUUCGAAACUGGCAGGCUAGGGUCUUGUAGAGGGGGGUAGAAUUCCGGGUGUAGCGGUGAAAUGCGUAGAGAUCUGGAGGAAUACCGGUGGCGAAGGCGGCCCCCUGGACAAAGACUGACGCUCAGGUGCGAAAGCGUGGGGAGCAAACAGGAUUAGAUACCCGCGUAGUC
rnacentral:rRNA from 1 species